rnacentral:sRNA from 1 species
ACUUUUCCCCAACUGCAGUACCCUCUGAUCUCUGGCUUCUCUCCUGCUCAGGACCUCAUCUAUUCCAGCCCAGUAGACACAGCUCACAAGGUACUGAUUAGCCUGAGGACCUUCCUGAGGAGGAAUGAGGAUAUCCAAGUGGGCGGUCUUAUCCGAGGCCACUUCCUGCUGAUCCUGCAGCGUCUGCUAGUGGAGCAUGGGACAUCCCCAUCAGGAGCCUCGGGGAACCUACCAUUGCUGCUGAGCCUCCUCUCCCUGAUGCAGCUCAGGAAUGUGUCAGAGCAAGAACUGGACAGCGUGGCCAUGAAGCUCCUUCACCAAGGUGCCCUGGCUGCUUGAGAUAGCACCCAAGGGCCCAGGGCUGGACGUGCAGUGGGUGCUCACUAAUAAGCAAGCUGUGUGGGACGUGCAGCCCCACUGACGUGGACAUCCUGCAGCCCUCCUUCAACUUCCUGUAUUGGAGCCUU